rfam:Hordeum vulgare subsp. vulgare, WGS project CAJW01000000 data, contig: morex_contig_62194
CAUUUACUCCCUCCGUCCGGAAAUACUUGUGAUAAGAAUGGAUGUAUAUAGAUGUAUUUUAGUUCUAGAUACAUCCAUUUUUAUUCAUUUAUGCGAGAAGUAAUUCCGGUCAUAGGGAGUAUAUU